GGUCAAUGCAAUGAAAUCAUUCAUCCCAAAUGCCGCCAUGGUCCAUGCACGUAGUUUUGGCCCACCUAUUGAUUCUUCGGGGGCUACUGAUGAACUCUUUGUUCCUAUUAACGAUGAGGUUGUCAAAAUAUCUGCUGUUCUGUUGCGACCACGUUACUCAAAAGUGUCUAAGACGACAAAGGCAGGAUCCUCUGAACUUGAUGAUUCACUAGUUGGUGAAAAUCUUUCAGCAGAGAGGAUGCAGUCCACAGCUGAAUUUGCAUUGAAGCCUGGGGAUCUUGCUGUAGUGUAUAUCUGUGAGUUGCCUGAAAUUAAGGGAAAGUUUGAUCCCAAAAAGGCUGCUGCUCUUGGGUUGAGACUUGGCCCAAAAUGCCGUGAAUUGCAACUCGGGAAUUCUGUACAGUCAGAUCAUCAAGACAUCAUGGUUCACCCUAGUGAUGUAUUGGGGCCUUCUGUUCCUGGUCCUAUUGUACUCGUUGUUGACUGCCCAACACCGUCUCAUCUGCAAGAAUUGUCGUCUAUACAUUCUCUCACUCCGUAUUAC
rnacentral:misc_RNA from 1 species